GCCGGGUUAGCUCAGCUGGUAGAGCACUCGACUUGUAAUCGAGCGGUCGUCGGUUCGACUCCGACACCCGGCU
rnacentral:tRNA from 1 species